GGCCACGUAGCUCAAUUGGAUAGAGCACAAGCCUCCUAAGCUUGGUGUUAGCGGUUCAAUCCCGCUCUUGGUCG
rnacentral:tRNA from 1 species